rnacentral:rRNA from 1 species
CUACGGGUUGCUCCAGUGGGGAAUAUUGCACAAUGGGCGCAGGCCUGAUGCAGCCAUGCCGCGUGUAUGAAGAAGGCCUUCGGGUUGUAAAGUACUUUCAGCGGGGAGGAAGGGAGUAAAGUUAAUACCUUUGCUCAUUGACGUUACCCGCAGAAGAAGCACCGGCUAACUCCGUGCCAGCAGCCGCGGUAAUACGGAGGGUGCAAGCGUUAAUCGGAAUUACUGGGCGUAAAGCGCACGCAGGCGGUUUGUUAAGUCAGAUGUGAAAUCCCCGGGCUCAACCUGGGAACUGCAUCUGAUACUGGCAAGCUUGAGUCUCGUAGAGGGGGGUAGAAUUCCAGGUGUAGCGGUGAAAUGCGUAGAGAUCUGGAGGAAUACCGGUGGCGAAGGCGGCCCCCUGGACGAAGACUGACGCUCAGGUGCGAAAGCGUGGGGAGCAAACAGGAUUAGAUACCCUAGUAGUC